UACGUAGGCAGCGAGCGUUGUUCGGAAUUACUGGGCGUAAAGAGUGUGUAGGCGGUGUUCCAAGUCUGGUGUGAAAUCUCCCGGCUCAACUGGGAGGGUGCGCCGGAAACUGGAAUGCUAGAGGGUGGGAGAGGUGAGCGGAAUUCCUGGUGUAGCGGUGAAAUGCGUAGAUAUCAGGAGGAACACCUGUGGUGUAGACAGCUUACUGGACCACUUCUGACGCUGAGACACGAAAGCGUGGGUAGCAAACAGG
rnacentral:rRNA from 1 species